AAUUGUGCCUUGUAAUAAAGUAAUAUAAUUAGCAAUUACUUUGGAAUGACUUUAAUAUACUUAACAGCUACUACGGAAAUGCAUUUAUUCAGGAGGCUUUGUUUUCUUUUGACUUCUGUUAGUACAAAAUAAACUCUUGUCUGAAUGGAGCUCAUACCUGAGUUCCCCAAAUUGUUCCUCAGGGCACACAGAGUGAGCAGGCUUUUUCCACAGCAGAUCUAUAACAGCUGUAGGGCUCUCUGUUAUAGAGGAUGAAACUAAGCUUGCAGGAGGGCAAAAAGGGCAACACAAAGCAUGCAGGUAGUGCGUUGGCUAGGCAUGCAGGCCAGCACUCCACUCUUCUUCUUUUUUUUUUUUUUUUUUCCUUUUUUUUCCCUCCUUUAUUUUUUUUUCCCCAGUACUACUCAGUAGCACCAGGUUUGGUGGUACUCACCCAUGUAUCAUUUCAUAGUGGUUCACGUUCUGCUGGCAACAGAAAUGUGGCACAGGUGGGCAGCUCUGUCUUAAAAAUAAUAGACUUGAACAGAAGGCUGUAUGUGCAUAUUUUCCUUACAAAUAAUUAAUGUUAAUUGGAAAGUUUUCAAAUAAAAAAUGAACUGUACAAAGGAAGCAAAAAGGAGAAGCAGACUAAGCUUUAAAAGGAGCAAUAGGACAGUGAUUGAAUGAAAAUACUGAUAUUCCCUUAAGUUUGGUGGCAGAGAAUAAAUCAGUAAAUUAGCUUACGUGUUGGACACCAGAUUCAUAUAAUUCUGUUACCUCUGCUGAGGAAAAUAGCAGUCCCUAUUCAGAAGUCCCAGUCCACGGUGCAGGAAUAUCAUGUGGUUUGCAUAGGGACAACUAUGUGCUUAUUUUAUUUGUCUGCCAAUGCCAAAGAGCUCAGCUGUAUCCGAAAUCUGUUCCCUUGCUUUGCAUUCUGGUGUCUUCAUCUCUGACAUUGCCUGCUAUUCAGGCAACGCUAUACCAGGCAUGUACAUCACCACAGAUGAAGCAGCUGAUAAAAUGUUGUAGUCUUUUUAGUGCAGCCCAUUUUGAUGUGCUCAGAAGGGCUUACUAGGCACUAGCACGUGGGCUUACCUGGGGAAGCAAUAGUGCUGUCGCUGGAGCACGUCACUGCACUAACCCUGUCCCAUUUUCCUCCAGUUCACUCAUCCCACGGGGAACCAAACCUGACAGCAUCAAGCAAGUGUAGAAAGCAACUCUGUUCCCAACGCUACACUUUUAUUUUCCUCUGCGCUUGCUAGGUCCCUUGAUCCCACAUCCCUCUCUAGUUACUCUAACCAUGGGAAUAAAGCCUGCCCCUGGGAUGGCUGAAGGCUUGUUCUAGGCUGUGGAAGGCAUCAUCAAGCCGUGUCUCUGCACGGUGCAGUUUAAAUCAGCUGUGCAGGGAGCAGAGCAAGGGCAGCAAAUUAUGUAAGAAGAAAAUCUUCAUCCUGGCACAGGCAUAUUCAGGAAAAGAAAUGUAACACAGCUAUCUCAUGUUCUGGUUCCAAAGAGAGACAAUUAGGAAUUUAACCCAGGCGUGGACAAUUCAAUUUCUGCUGCCUGGUUUUUAUAUGGUCCCUGGAAUGUGUUCUGGGGACCUGCUGGAGCCAAGCACACAGUUUGGCUCCAGGAUGUCACAGGAGCAGGGAAGUGGAAAGACACAUGUCCUGGUACCUUCAGCCCCUACUUAACACGUCUACUUUGCUUUCCACAGGUGUAACCCCCAUGAGGACCUCUCAUGGGCGAGGCAGGACCUGCACCAAAUGGAGUAAAUGCACUGACCAAACUUAUGGUCUGACCUAGGUGCUAAAAUGUUCUACUCAGAUAAAAAAAGAGAUCAAAUCACAUGCUGAAUUUGAAGCACCAGUGGCAUUACUAGUAUGAAGAGUCAAGCUUUCUGGUUCACUUGGUCUAUUCCGGUGUGUGGGUGUUCACAGAACAAUUACGUAAGUGUCAGGGUAGCAAGGAACUUUUGACAUUUCUGGCAGCUUAACUGAGUUCUUUUCAGUCAAAAAUAUUCUAAUUGUUGUUCUCUCGCAUUAAACACACAUCAUUGCCUUAAAUGGAUUUGGAGGGGUUGGGGCAUUUUUUGAAGCGUCAGUUGUCAGGGCAAGAUAUUGGAGCAGUUUUAUUCUUGAGAAAACAGGAGAUUUUUCACAGUUACAGUGAGACGAACAUUUGUGAGAACUGUUUUAAAUCAUAUAAGAGGGUGAGAAAGUUGCCAUGCCAUAUGCCUGGAAUUUACUAUGUUAGAGCUAAUUGCUGCCACCGAAUGUAAGGGCCCGUCAGCUUUUUCAUCAUCACACCCACCUCAACACCUUUUUUUUUAAUUUUAUUUUAAGGUGUUUUUUUUUUUUUUACUUUUUUGCCUACAUAGUUUUUGGGCUGCAGAAUGAUAUUGCAGCCUCCAUGCUAACUCCUGACACGCCUUACAUUCUAUAUUCAAGGUGAAUAGGUUAGGCACCCCACUGAUAUAUGGUGGAUUAAAUUCCAAGGCAACUGCUCUUCUGCAUGUUUUACGCAGGGUAAUAAAGGAAAACUGGUUUGUCUCCCAAGAGCAAGAUACCUAAAUUAGUCAGGCUAAAUCAGUGUCCAAGUGACAUUUUCAGGGAAGAUUUCUCUCUAAAGAUCAAGUAGGAAAGAAACAAAACCAGAUAACUGUAUUCUUUCUUGUUUGAUCCAAGCUGUGCCUUUACGACCAAAAACCUCCCAUCAAACUAGCCAGUGGAUUUAUUUUUUUUUUCUUGGUUAAGUAUUAAAUCUUUCAAGUGAUCAUGACCUUGAAAUACUGUCUGUUCUUCUACAUGAUACCAUAACGAGGCAAGUCAUAAAUCUGAGCGGUGCUGGGCAUCCAGCUGACAUGCCUGAGUGAUCAACCAGGAAAACAACAUUAGCCUGUGGCUGCUGGGUAGUCAAGAAAAGAACUGUAGGAUGUUUUUCACCUGUAAAAGUAGAUUUCCUGGAGUCAGCCCCAGAAGAGGGCUGUGUUACUUGCUCUCUGGGUAUGGAGGCAGAACAGGAUCCAUGUGUAGGUGCUUGCACACAUUGGCAUUGUUAGCAAAUCCUUACCUAGAUUGGAAGUAUGUGAGACGAGGGCUCUACCAGUGACAGUACAUGGUGAGGAAUCACUGAGGUAACCUGUGUUCUUUGAGUUCCAACUCAUUUAUUUUUGGACAUUAAUUUUCCCAAUUAGUGAGGACAACUUAAGCCUGGAUGUUCCAGCUUACUAAUAUAUACUUCGUGCCAGCUCAGACUUUUAGCAUAAGGGGG
ensembl:lncRNA